rnacentral:rRNA from 1 species
CCUGGGAGAAGACCAGGUAGAUAGGCCGGGAGUGCAAGGGGGGCAACCUCUUGAGCGGACCGGUACUAAUGGGUCGAGGGCUUGCGACG